rnacentral:rRNA from 1 species
UACGUAGGGGGCAAGCGUUGUCCGGAUUUAUUGGGCGUAAAGAGCGUGUAGGCGGCCAGACAAGUCUGCUGUGAAAACUCGAGGCUCAACCUCGAGCUGUCGGUGGAAACUGUCUGGCUAGAGUCCGGAAGAGGAGAGUGGAAUUCCUGGUGUAGCGGUGAAAUGCGCAGAUAUCAGGAAGAACACCUAUGGCGAAGGCAGCUCGCUGGGACGUUACUGACGCUGAGACGCGAAAGCGUGGGGAGCAAACAGG